AUCACCUGAGGGUCAUGUUAAAAUGCGGAUUCUGAUUCUGCCUGUCUCGGGUGGGGCCUGAGAUUCUGCAUUUCUGACAAGCUCCCAGGUGAUGCAGA
rnacentral:pre_miRNA from 1 species